UGCAAGUCUAGGGGGUGUAGCAAUACAUCACCGGCGGAGGUGCGUAACACGUGGGAAUAUACCUUUCGGUACGGAACAACUGCGGGAAACUGCAGCAUACCGUAUACGUCCUAGCGGAGAAAGAUUUAUCGCCGAAGGAUUAGCCCGCGUUCGAAGCUAGUUGGUGGGGUAAUGGCCCACCAAGGCGACGAUCGAUAGCUGUUCUGAAAGGAAUCAGCCACACUGGGACUGAGACACGGCCCAGACUCCUACGGGAGGCAGCAGUUGGGACUUGGACAAUGGGGGAAACCCUGAUCCAGCCAUGCCGCGUGAGUGAUGAAGGCCUUCGUUGUAAAACUCUUUCGACGGGGACGAUAAUGACGGUACCCGUAGAAGAAGCUCCGGCUCUUCGUGCCAGCAGCCGCGGUAAUACGAAGGGGGCUAGCGUUGUUCGGAAUUACUGGGUAAAGCGCGCGCAGGCGGCUAUCCAAGUCAGUGGUGAAAGCCCGGAGCUCAACUCCGGCUGCCAUUGAAACUGUUUAGCUUGAGGACGAGAGAGGUGAGUGGAAUUCCCAGUGUAGGUGAAAUUCGUAGAUAUUGGAAGAACACCAGUGGCGAAGGCGGCUCACUGGCUCGUUUGACGCUCAGGCGCGAUAGCGUGGGGAUCAAACAGGAUUAGAUACCCUGGUAGUCCACGGUAAACGAUGAAUGCUAGCCGUUGGGCAGCUUGCUGUUCAGUGGCGCAGCUAACGCAU
rnacentral:rRNA from 1 species